rnacentral:lncRNA from 1 species
AUGCUUUUCUCUGCCCCCAUCUGUGAGUGCAGGCGGGACCAGUACCCUGCUCUGCGGGCCCAAGAGCGACGGAACUGGCAGACCGCUCUGGUCCUCUGCUGUGCCACGGAGCGUUAUGUUUCUGCUCUGGGUUUCCUUUUCUUCAGUCAAAAUAAGAGCAGAGGAGGUUCGUGGCGCCGGGGGACCCUUGCUACCGCCUCCGGCCUUCCUCUCCCACAAAGCAGAGCCCCUGCUCCACGAGGCAAUGGCAGAGCAGGGACCUGCUGGCCCUCGAGUGAGGGUGUAGGAGACGCGUCCAACCCUGGCCCAGGCCGAGUGGAGGGGGCGACCCGUGUGGUGAGCAGCCUGCUGACCACCAGCGGCAUCUACAUCGCAGCUGCCUGACCCCCGGCC